rnacentral:tRNA from 1 species
UCCUUCAGAGCUCAGUGGGUAAAGAAUCUGUCUGCAAUAUAGGAGACCCAGGUUCAAUCCCUGGCUCAGGAA